GGGGAAUAUUGCGCAAUGGGGGAAACCCUGACGCAGCAACGCCGCGUGAAGGAUGAAGGUUUUCGGAUCGUAAACUUCUUUGAUGAGGGACGAAGAAUGACGGUACCUCAAAAACAAGCCACGGCUAACUACGUGCCAGCAGCCGCGGUAAUACGUAGGUGGCGAGCGUUGUCCGGAAUUACUGGGUGUAAAGGGCGUGUAGGCGGGGAUACAAGUCAGAUGUGAAAUACCGUGGCUUAACCACGGGGCUGCAUCUGAAACUGUAUUUCUUGAGUGUCGGAGAGGAAAGUGGAAUUCCCAGUGUAGCGGUGAAAUGCGUAGAUAUUGGGAGGAACACCAGUGGCGAAGGCGACUUUCUGGACGAUAACUGACGCUGAGGCGCUAAAGCGUGGGGAGCAAACA
rnacentral:rRNA from 1 species